GAGGGUAUAGCUCGUGCUUAGCAUGCACGAGGUCCUGGGUUCAAUCCCCAGUACCUCCA
rfam:Camelus ferus unplaced genomic scaffold scaffold1127, whole genome shotgun sequence.